rnacentral:rRNA from 1 species
AAGGGCACCACAAGAACGCGUGGAGCAUGUGGCUUAAUUUGACUCAACGCGGGAAAUCUUACCGGGUCCGGACACACUGAGGAUUGACAGGUAUUAUUAAAAUAUAUAUUAAUUUCGGUUAUUAUAUAUUUUAUGUUAAAUAUGCUAGUCCUUUCAUGAUUAUGUGAUAGGUGGUGCAUGGCCGUUCUUAGUUCGUGGAGUGAUCUGUCUGCUUAAUUGCGUUUCACUAAGGGCUUAUAAGUUUACGUGUGUUGUGAGUACUUUGACCCCUAUAUUGAAAUAUAUAUAGUGCGCGUCUUAGUUUGCUUCACUCACACAAUUAAGUCCUGAAAGCAACGAACGUGACCGCAACCUCUUGUUGCUUCUAAUUUUAACGCGUAUUUUAAUAUUUAUAUUAUUUUACGUAUAAAGAAGCUUUGAAACUAGAGGGACCGCUGUAAUCUUUUUAAACCAGAGGAAGGUUGCGGCAAUAACAGGUCUGUGAUGCCCUUAGAUGUUCCGGGCUGCACACGUGCUACAAUGAUUAUUGCAGUGAGCAUCUCAUUUAUUAUACAUCGCUUGUACGAGUCCAUUUACUGUGUAUGCCUUCGGGUAUAUUUCAGUUAAAUGUGUUUACUUUGUACGCGAUAAAGCCUGCUUCGAAAGUAAGUGGGUAAUCAAUUAGAAGUAAUGAUUUCCCAAUUUAUAGCACACAUAUAUACAGCAUUUUUACCCGAUCUAAGCUUGUCUUAGAUUCUGUGUGUAUUAAUGAAUUAUUGCCUUUUUGUGCAUUAAUUUUUACUGUAUGUGCAAUUGUCAAUUCAUAGUGGGGAUCAACCAUUGAUAAUUGUUGGUUGUGGUCUUAACUAGGAAUGCCUUGUACGGGUCUUUGGUUCAACAAACCACCCGGAAUACGUCCCUGCCCUUUGUACACACCGCCCGUCGCUCUUACCGAUGGACUUCUCUGUGAGUUUGAGGGACUGGGUAUUUUUAAACCUAUGGAAACUUAAACGAACAGUGUGGUCUAAAGGAAAGAGAAGUCG